rnacentral:rRNA from 1 species
UUACCCACUCCCGGCACGGGGAGGUAGUGACGAAAAAUAACGAUACGGGACUCAUCCGAGGCCCCGUAAUCGGAAUGAGUACACUCUAAACCCUUUAACGAGGAUCAAUUGGAGGGCAAGUCUGGUGCCAGCAGCCGCGGUAAUUCCAGCUCCAAUAGCGUAUAUUAAAGUUGUUGCGGUUAAAAAGCUCGUAGUCGAAUUUGUGUCCCGCGCCGCCGGUUCAUCGUCCGCGGUGUUAACUGGCGUGUCGCGGGACGUCCUGCCGGUGGGCUUAGCUCGCAAGGGCGACGCCCAACUCAAUCCUGCCGCGGUGCUCUUCAUCGAGUGUCGAGGUGGGCCGGCACGUUUACUUUGAACAAAUUAGAGUGCUUAAAGCAGGCUAAAACUUCGCCUGAAUACUGUGUGCAUGGAAUAAUGGAAUAGGACCUCGGUUCUAUUUUGUUGGUUUUCGGAACCCCGAGGUAAUGAUUAAUAGGAACGGAUGGGGGCAUUCGUAUUGCGACGUUAGAGGUGAAAUUCUUGGAUCGUCGCAAGACGAACAGAAGCGAAAGCAUUUGCCAAAAACGCUUUCAUUGAUCAAGAACGAAAGUUAGAGGUUCGAAGGCGAUCAGAUACCGCCCUAGUUCUAACCAUAAACGAUGCCAGCUAGCGAUCCGCCGACGUUCCUCCGAUGACUCGGCGGGCAGCUUCCGGGAAACCAAAGCUUUUGGGUUCCGGGGGAAGUAUGGUUGCAAAGCUGAAACUUAAAGGAAUUGACGGAAGGGCACCACCAGGAGUGGAGCCUGCGGCUUAAUUUGACUCAACACGGGAAACCUCACCAGGCCCGGACACCGGAAGGAUUGACAGAUUGAGAGCUCUUUCUUGAUUCGGUGGGUGGUGGUGCAUGGCCGUUCUUAGUUGGUGGAGCGAUUUGUCUGGUUAAUUCCGAUAACGAACGAGACUCUAGCCUGCUAACUAAGCGUAUUUCGACAUCCCAAAGGCCCGCCGGCCGGGGG